GACGAACGCUGGCGGCGUGCCUAAUACAUGCAGGUUGAGCGCUGAAGGUUGGUACUUGUACCAACUGGAUGAGCAGCGAACGGGUGAGUAACGCGUGGGGAAUCUGCCUUUGAGCGGGGGACAACAUUUGGAAACGAAUGCUAAUACCGCAUAAAAACUUUAAACACAAGUUUUAAGUUUGAAAGAUGCAAUUGCAUCACUCAAAGAUGAUCCCGCGUUGUAUUAGCUAGUUGGUGAGGUAAAGGCUCACCAAGGCGAUGAUACGUAGCCGACCUGAGAGGGUGAUCGGCCACAUUGGGACUGAGACACGGCCCAAACUCCUACGGGAGGCAGCAGUAGGGAAUCUUCGGCAAUAGACGAAAGUCUGACCGAGCAACGCCGCGUGAGUGAAGAAGGUUUUCGGAUCGUAAAACUCUGUUGGUAGAGAAGAACGUUGGUGAGAGUGGAAAGCUCAUCAAGUGACGGUAACUACCCAGAAAGGGACGGCUAACUACGUG
rnacentral:rRNA from 1 species